ACUUUAUAUACAGCAUGCUAGACAAUGAUGAGGGCAAUGAUGGUAUAAAGCAAGGGGUGAGGAAACACAUGCAAAAGGGAGUCAAUUCUGCCCAGGGGCAUCAGGGAAGGCUUUGCAGAGUGUAUGGAAGAGUGACCCAUGCCAGGAGAAGGGCAGCAGAGGAGUGGGCGGCGCAGGGUGAGGCUACAUUGAGAACAGCAUUGAUUGCCGCACUUUGGCCACCUUCUUAUAAGUGGUGAUGAGAUGGCAAAGGCUUUUGGUGUUUUGUUUGUUUGUUUGUUUGUUUGUUUUGAGAUAGGGUCUCGCUCUGUCACCCAGGCUGUAUGUAGUGCAGUGGUGUCAUCAUAGCUCACUGCAGUCUCAAACCGCUGGGCUCAAGUGAUGCUCCCACCUCAGCUUCCCAAGUAGCUGGGACCACAGGUAUGUGCCACCAUGCCUGGCUAAUUUUUUCAAUUUUUUUUAUAGAGACGGGGGUCUCACUAUGUUGUCUAGACUGGUCUCAAACUCCUAGUCUCAAGGGAUUCUCCGACCUUGGCCUCCCAAAGUGCUGGGAUUACAGGCAUGAGCCACUGCACCCAGCUGGCAAAGGCUUUUAAUAAAUGCCUCCAGGUUGGUCCCACUCUGUUGGGGCCUAUCUGGGCACUGGGCCCUCCAGUUUACCUCUUUGUACCCAGCUACUUCUCCUGCCCAUGGAAUCAUGAUGUGACUGGACUUCCUUCUCAGACUUCCCAUCCUUCUUGGCUCUCAUCAUUGUGCUCCAGCAUCGUGGGGCUCCCCCAGCGUGUCCCAUCAGAGAUGUUCCCUCUGCCACUCUGCCCUCCCCCAGCAUCCCCACCUCCUGGAGAUAACUCAUCCCGAGAAAUAAUGUGCGAUUGACUCCUAAGAGGAGAAUGGCUCCAGAAUCUUAUCUAAAUGUGUAGCAAAUGAAGGUAAUUUUGAAACUUAAUUCACCAACUCAUCCAUUUACUUGUUGAGUACCUACCAGGUGUUGGGCUUCUAAGCUGGUCAUUAGGUGAAGUAAUAGUGGAAGCUCUGGUGACUGAUUCAGCAUUUUGGAAGAGUGUAAAGACGAGUUUGUGAGAGAAUUUCAGCACUGUUUUGUGGGGAGGGGGGUUCCCAGCUGUCGAUAUUGAUCCUCAUGUCUGUUU
rnacentral:lncRNA from 1 species